rnacentral:tmRNA from 2 species
GGGGGCGACGUAGGCUUCGACGGGGGUUGCAAAACCUGAAGUGCAUGCCGAGGUGCAGAGUACCUCGCUAAACCAUCUGCAAACUUAUA